CGGAGAUUCAUCGAUAUUUUUCCUUGAGUAUCGGCAGGGGAGAUGGUUUUACCUUCAAAGAGUAGUUGGUUUCGUGCGUUCCAGAUCGUCCAACAGACCCACGGUAGGAUCGUGCUUGUAAUUCCAGUUGGAGGUAGACACACUGCUCUCUUAAAAGCGACAACGGCCUCUUUGAAGGUUCCAUCUGUAGCUAGGUGAACUACGCGAUUGAGGGGAAUGAGAUGCCAUACCUCCUGAGCAUAGGGGCAGUGGAAAAAGGUUUUCUCCCAGCGGCAGAGCUCUCUGGAUAAUGGACCACAAGAAGAGCUUCAUUUUAGGUGAACAAGCUUCAGACCAAACAUCUCUGACCCAAGUGAAGACUCCCGGGUCUGACGAGAAUGGUAGCGUAGCUGUCUGCAUAGAUGCUGAGAAGUAACCAGAGCGCGUAGUGUAAAUGCCGGAUGGUAGUG